rnacentral:rRNA from 1 species
GUGCCAGCCGCUGCGGUAAUACGGAGGGUGCAAGCGUUAUCCGGAUUUAUUGGGUUUAAAGGGUCCGUAGGCGGACUGAUAAGUCAGUGGUGAAAUCCGACAGCUUAACUGUCGAACUGCCAUUGAUACUGUCAGUCUUGAGUAAGGUUGAAGUGGCUGGAAUAAGUAGUGUAGCGGUGAAAUGCAUAGAUAUUACUUAGAACACCAAUUGCGAAGGCAGGUCACUAAGUCUUAACUGACGCUGAGGUUCGAAAGCGGUGGGUAGCAAACAGGAUUAGAUACCCUGGUAGUCCACGCUGUAAACGAUGAAUGCUAAGUGUUGGAGGUUUCCGCCUUCAGUCGCCGCAGCAAACGCAAUUAAGC